rnacentral:rRNA from 1 species
CCUACGGGAGGCAGCAGUGGGGAAUAUUGCACAAUGGGGGGAACCCUGAUGCAGCGACGCCGCGUGGGUGAAGAAGUAUUUCGGUAUGUAAAGCCCUAUCAGCAGGGAAGAACAAUGACGGUACCUGACUAAGAAGCACCGGCUAAAUACGUGCCAGCAGCCGCGGUAAUACGUAUGGUGCAAGCGUUAUCCGGAUUUACUGGGUGUAAAGGAAGCGCAGGCGGCGCGUUAAGCCUGGUGUGAAAGCCCGCGGCCCAACCGCGGGACUGCAUUGGGAACUGGCGCGCUGGAGUGCCGGAGGGGUAGGCGGAAUUCCUAGUGUAGCGGUGAAAGGCGUAGAUAUUAGGAGGAACACCAGUGGCGAAGGCGGCUUACUGGACUGUAACUGACGUUGAGGCUCGAAAGCGUGGGGAGCAAACAGGAUUAGAUACCCUAGUAGUC